rnacentral:rRNA from 1 species
GAUGAACGCCGGCGGCGUGCCUAAUACAUGCAAGUAGAACGCUGAAGGAAGGAGCUUGCUCUUUCUGGAUGAGUUGCGAACGGGUGAGUAACGCGUAGGUAACCUGCCUCUUAGCGGGGGAUAACUAUUGGAAACGAUAGCUAAUACCGCAUAAAAGUCGACAUUGCAUGAUGUUGACUUGAAAGGUGCAAUUGCAUCACUAAGAGAUGGACCUGCGUUGUAUUAGCUAGUUGGUGAGGUAACGGCUCACCAAGGCGACGAUACAUAGCCGACCUGAGAGGGUGAUCGGCCACACUGGGACUGAGACACGGCCCAGACUCCUACGGGAGGCAGCAGUAGGGAAUCUUCGGCAAUGGGGGGAACCCUGACCGAGCAACGCCGCGUGAGUGAAGAAGGUUUUCGGAUCGUAAAGCUCUGUUGUAAGAGAAGAAACGAGUGUGAGAGUGGAAAG